AAUUGAGCUAUGGGUUUCAUAAGGUUGACGUUCACAAGUCAGUUGAAUAGAAUUAUGUGUUGGGAAUGAAGAACUAAGCAAGCUGGAGGAAAUUUAAGGAAGCAAGCUGGAGCAAUGCAGAAUUUAAUUAUCCACACUUUUAUGCAUGCAAAAUGAUGGCUGAAUUUAUAAAAUAUAUAAACAUAUGGGCGGCUGAAGUUAGAUGAUUAAGAGGCUGGAAAUUGGAAUAAAUUCGCAUAAGGCAAAAGGGGGCAGAAUUCCCU
rnacentral:lncRNA from 1 species